UACGGAGGGGGCUAGCGUUAUUCGGAAUUACUGGGCGUAAAGCGCACGUAGGCGGCUUUGUAAGUCAGAGGUGAAAGCCUGGAGCUCAACUCCAGAACUGCCUUUGAGACUGCAUCGCUUGAAUCCAGGAGAGGUGAGUGGAAUUCCGAGUGUAGAGGUGAAAUUCGUAGAUAUUCGGAAGAACACCAGUGGCGAAGGCGGCUCGCUGGACUGGUAUUGAUGCUGAGGUGCGAAAGCGUGGGGAGCAAACAGG
rnacentral:rRNA from 1 species